AUGCAACACUCCGUGUUUGGCAAAGUAUUCUCACCUUCAGAGAUAAAGAUCUUGUCACGUCUACAGUUUUCUCAACAAAUCAUUAUGAAAAAUAUUAUUCCCGCAAUACCGAAAGUGCGCAAACGUCUGUCAGCUUGUAUUAUCCAAUGGUAAACUGAAUGCCAUCAUCCUCAUCCUCACCCUCCAUCUCCUCUGCGGCCCUCUCAGCCCUUUCCCUCUCACAGGCCUGGAUGUAGUUGUCCUCAAUGAAGCCGUCAUCAUCAUCCAGCUCAGUGGGAGGGCCUCGUCCCAUCACGUCCUGCCCAGAGAAGCCUACCUCCAGGCUCAUUGGGUCGCACUGGCUUACAGCGUCCCCCUCAGGAAGCAGAGUGUGUCGGUAGCUGGCCAGGUAACGAUGGACGAUCUUGCAUUUGGCCCCAAGCGUGAUAAUGAUGGAGAUCAAGAUGGCUGUGACCAAGACAGCUACAAGGUACUGCCAGCUGUGUGACGGCCGCUCCUUACUGGUGUCUGUGCCUGUAGGACAGAGAAGGAUCAGGGCUGAAGUUACUCAGUUCACUGUCUUGCUAAUGUUGGUUGAAAUCAGCUUUUGGCAAGAAUACUUAACCAAAAUCACCAUUACAAAUCAAUAAUUAGAAUAAUUUCCAAAGUAGAAAUACCUAUCUGCAGUGUCCUACAUAAUUCAUAUUACAUAGUAUUAAUUUUAGCAGCUUUAUGUUUCAUAUUCACAAUUAAUAUUAAGUGCUUUGUUUCUGGCAGAAAUGAGUCAGUGCCCAUAUAAUAUUCGGUUCUGGUUGUAAGUUCUCUUCCAUGCCAAAUAAAUAAUUCUGCUGCAUAAGACGUAAAAUAAACAGCUAGUUUUGAGUGACAGAGAUCUUACUGUUUAUGCUUGGUGUGGUAGGAUCCUCAUUGAUAUCUGACAACAGCUUCCUUUGAAAUGUUCUCAGGAUGUUGAGAUUUUGUACAUGUCCUGUAAGAAGAUUUAAAUGGUUGGUCAGGA